AAUCUUUUCUGUGGGUGUAUUUUCGCGGAAAUGUUUCCAUCAUGAAUAUUUCUAAAUAACUAAUAAACGAUGACUCAUCGCCACCCUCGUCAUUCCACGCAAUACUCGCUGUUCUGCGUCGAAAGAAAGACGCAUUUAGGCAUCGAAACUCCGAGUUGAGUUUUCACGAAAAAACAAGUCUAUUAAGGUUUAUUUGCAACAAUUUACGCCGUGAGAUGCAGUUUCCUGUUAUCUCCCGGUAUAUCAGAGAUGUGAUUGAACUCAUCGAAAUUACAGCACUGCUUUUAACAACCGCUGCUUUCACCAGUGUAGAAAGUACUUGUUUUUAAUGAAUGCGAUCGAUGCGCUCGCACGAUCGUUUCGGCAUGUAUCGAUGAGAGAGCGUUAUUGCGUGCAAGUACGCAGAGAAACGCAAGGAGAAUGUGAAAUAUUCAAAUGCUCCUUUCUUGAUAUUUGCAUGAAUGUGUUUUUUCCUUCCCUUUCAAUCGAAAGCACUUUGACGAAUAAUGCUGGUAACAAUGGUUCGUACCCAUCGCGCGUUCAUCUGCGUUACACAUACUGUGUGAGAGGGAGAUACGUUCAGACCGUUGCGUUCCCGUUGCCUUACAAAGGAUGUCUUGAAUGGCACCUGCUUUUUACGACCUCUCUCUCUCUCUCUGGGUUGGGCCAACGUCGCACCCAGAAUAACAACAGCGUUAAUUAACGUAAUAAACGCGAUACGCGUUAUUUUUGAGAAUCAGCGAUGUGGCGCGGAACGUGGCACGGGACGGGAAGCAAACCGGGUCGUUCGCGUCUAAUGGACAAGAAGAUCAUGGACCUCUGACGAAUAGCUGGACCAAGGACGCGUCUCUCUCUCUCUCUCAAUACGUUUACACGAUUACAUUAUUUUCUAUUUGCACGAAUGACGAUGAAUCAUGACCAAUAUUCCCACCAGUUGGAGACCACGCUUAAAGAACGUCCAUAAAUUACGUAACGCGACAAUGACAUGACACGAGAUCUUUUUGCAGGCAGAUUCGAGAUAGAGAAAAGACAAUCAUGAGUUUCGCACAAGACUGCAGAAGAAGAUGUUAUUCCAGACGCGUAUGCUCAAAUUCCCACACAAAUUCUAUUUUAUAGGCACUAAUCUUCUACUUUUAACAAGUAACUAAACUCUUUAAAUGUCUUGUACCUAUGUAGAGUAUUUUAUUGUUAAAGUCAAUUUUACCUCCAUGAACGCGAAUUCUCAAGAGACCUCCCUUAUGACCGACUUAAAUUUCGCGAUAUAGUUGUCCAUAAGCUACUUUAGCAUACGGAAGUGCAAAGUACUUGCCGCACAACGCCCACGUUAUUCUAUCCUUACACGUUGAGAGAAAAUUGGGAAAAAUCACGCGAAGACCGAAUGACUCUCGAUAUCUAGAGGAGAAAAGGAAAGGCCCGUCAGCGUGAGCGGACGAUCCGCUCCGCGCGAAUCGCAUCGGGUCAAACGUGACGCAACCGCAUCGUGCAGCACGCAUCCGGGCCCGACUUCCGAGGAGGAGGUGGAAACGGCGGAUGGGAGGAAGGAAAGAAAAAGAGAGAGAGAGAGAGAGAGAGGCGGAGAAGGAGAGCCGACGAAGCGUGGUACUGCGGACGUGCCGCGGCAUCCAUCUCUCCUCCGCGCCUCCACCUUCUCACCUUACCCCGAUCCCAGACGCGGAGAGGAGCGCUCCGCCGCACCGCCGCGCGCGGCGUAAAGCCGCGGCGGGAGCGGUUGCCACAUCGGCAUUCCGCCUGGUAUGAUUCACUAAGUACCUAACGUGAUCCGUACAUGAAAACGCGCGCGAUAGUCGCGCGUACGUACGGUACACGUUGCCACGCGACGAUAACCGCCCCAAUCGCGCGCCGUCCGGCAAUAAUAAUCGGCGAUGAUAAGACCUCGCCGGCGAAAUAAGACGACGUACACUCGGACUCGUUCCACGCUUCCAUGCACGCAUCAGCGCGCUUGUCUAAUGGACUUCCGCACGCUCUCACUGCGAAGCACGUUGCCUUCGCGAUCGCCAAACGCAACGCCGAACUCCCCUUGACCGAUUCGAAGUUGAUUUUUUUCUCAAGUCAAAUUCUGCCAUCGAAUUUGAUUAGCUUCACCGACAAUUUACUCACAAUCAAUCAAAACUGUAAACGUUCAAUCGUAGAUACAAUGCGAAAUGUAUGUUUAUAUCUUUUAAUUGAUCUUUCGCAUUGUUAGUUGCUUAAUGAUAAAGAGAAGAUCGUUCUUUAUCCGCGAUUGAGCACAGGGUUGUUAACGCGAACGUUCAAGGGUUGGAAAGCGAGGCUUAUUUUUAGCGGCGUUUGUUAACCGAUCGAUCGGCGCGAAUGACUCACAUAGUCUGACAUAAUUGGCGAAUUAUGAGUGCACUGGUCGAUACCGGCUGUGACAGCUGCAAGCUUUGCGCAAGGCAUCGAUCGCGGUACUUUUCACCCGCAAAAAUUACCAUUCGCCCGCUCGGGACGCGCCUUGAAAGCAAUGACCCCACCGUCGCGGUCGGCCCGUUAAUCACGUGCCGAAUCGAAUCUGAAUUAGGCGACAAAUCGCAAACGCGAAUUGGAGUCUAGAAUCGAAGCGUGGGACUCGAGAAUCUCGCGUGAUCAGACGGAGCCUGCAAUCGGCCACGAUAUUGCAACGGGAACCGUUUAAUCCCGCGACUCGAUAACGAACUGCGCGCAAUUCACGAUUGCGAUCCAUCGAUCGGUUUGGAUUCAUUUCUCUGGACGCACUUUGGAAGUCAAAUGGAGCCAAGUACAAUGGCGCGCUAUAUAAUUCCUGCCUUCUUCAUUUAACAUUUCAUACCAGCAGUCACCCUGAAUUACACCUGAUUUUUUUCUACGAAUAAAAUCUUCCUCUCUCAUCAUGUACUAAAUACAAAAAAUAUUUUUUCAAGAAUAAUACAAAUUGUGAUCUCAAGCUGCAACGUCUUGUAUCUUUUACUCUUUUGUGCAAAUUCCUAAUUUUCUAAAGUUUAAGUGUAAAACAAUGAGUGUCACGAGCGGAUAAGAGCAAGUAGAAUAUUCGUCGAAGCGAACGCGAACGUCUGAUGGCCAAACGAGCUACUGGGCACGUUCUUCACGGCCCCGCGCCGGCUAAAGAGUCUAUAAAACUGGCUCUAAUUCCUUCCUUUUUUUCACAUUAGCCAGGAAUUCGAGAACACCGCGCAUUCAUGGCCGAGUGAAUAAGCUCGCCCGAGUUUAGCCGCCUUUCUCCGCCGUGAUCCGACCAUUCGCUUCGAUCCGGCUAGCUUUUUUCCAGAUAUACACCAUGGACUUAACGUAACAGCUAAACUUUGGUAAUAGGAUGGCGAAUGUCAAUGUUUGACGAUAUCACGUUCGAAGUGACGUAAUUUCUCGGCUUCUUAUUCCUGCUUUUGCAAAGUGUUUGUACAACUUUCGUGUUUCAUGAAACUCGUGAGAAUUAAUAAAAUACCGAUAUGUCCUCGAAAUUCGAUAUUUUCAAAUCUAAAAAAAAUGGAAAUCAAAGUCAUCUCUUAUCAAUGGAUAAUUGAUUUCACAGCAGUUUAUCCAGCAAAAAAAUAAAUUGCAACUGAAGGCAAAACAAAUUUAUAAAAAUUAUUAGAGAAAAAUGAUCAGAAGUAAUGCAUUCGGUACGCGAAGAUUCCUGCAGAAUUCCUACAAAAUUCCUGUGGUUUUUUUGAGAUGCUUUCGGAAUCACGAAGAAUCGCCCGAUUUUUCUGCGUCAGCCAUCUAUCUAGCGAUCUAAUCACGGUUACAAACACUACGUUUUACGUCCGCCCAAGGAACGACGUAGCUACACCACAAUGAAUAUGGAUCAUUUUUGUUCGAUCUCCACGGCGUGAAACGAUCGCGAACGCGGUCGUACGAGCGUGACGACGAGCUCGCUCGUGAAUCCGAUGCGUUCGACUUUGAGUGACUUUCUCGAUGAUAAUCCAGCGUGUAAUUGCGCCUCGCCGUGCUAAAAUCGUGUCUACGUGGUUACUAGUCGCUGUUUAUACGCGAGAUAACGUUCUUAGCCUCAAGUUUAUCGAACCACAUGUUACUUCGCGAACGCGGCUGAGGUGCGCACUUAUACCGUGCCUGGAAAGCGUUUUUCGCAGCGAGAAACCGGAAACUCCUCGCUUUAAUUCGCCGAUUUAUGGCUUUCUCCAUUUAUGAGAAGCCGCCCGGACGCGACGCACCGAGACGAUAAUUCUUUCUUCCUUUCUUUUUUUUUUAAUGCGAGAGAUGCAUCGUUAGACUAUGCGAAAUUAUCUAUAUGGAUAGCGCAUAAAGUGAUGUAUUUUAAUUUACAUGACGCAAUUAUAAUCUCGCUUGGUGUGUGAUUUAAUAUAAAUAUAUAUUCUAUUUAUAAUGUGCAACCUGCUAUGUUUUUCCUUUUAUCAGAAAAACUCUCGAGUUACGUGCGUGCACACAGAAAAACAUAAGUGUGCUUAGCUCGAGAUCGCGUUACGCACGUCCCAAGGAACGAGGCGUAAUUGAGGCAUUAUUUUGUAUAUUUGCGAUAAUUAAAGAAAUAAAUAAAGAUCGCGUGUUAACGGUCGCGCACGCCGCCUAAAACGCCUAAUUACCUACUCGUCGGCGAGGAGUUUCACGCAUCGUGGGCGUGGUGCGCUAGUCGGAGAUGCCCAGUACUUUCCGGCGAACGAGGAAAUGUACCAGAUGGCACACAUCACGUGUAUGUAUGUCGGGUAACGCGCAUAAUAUAUAUUUUUACACGCCUCGCGCCGAUUAGUCGUCCGUUCUCUCGGUGACAUCAUCGCGUUUAGUACUGUCACGAAGCACGAAAGCUCGCGUUCCAUCUCAUGUACGCAAUACUCUCUCUCUCUCUCUCUUUCCUCACGCAUGGCUAUUAUUAUUAUCAUUAUUAUUCGAGACGUCGACUGCACACUAGACAAACAUCCGCGCGUCGGAACUUCCUAAACGGAAGUCGUUAAUGGCGCACGUUCUCGAUAAAGCUCGGCAAAAGCGGCCACCGUGACGUAACGAUAACGAUGACGCGGGAGUACCGUGGGGACAUGGCGAUUGGCUGAUGCGGUGUCCAAUUUAGCAGCGACUCUUGUCUCAUUGGUUCCUAAGCCGUUACAAGAUGGUAAACUUCACCUCGAACGGAAAGCGGAGGAAAUUGCACCCCGGUGUCAGGUUGGUGCAGGUCAGUGCCGUUACUCUUUCCCCGCGGAAGAUCUAGGUUUACGACGUUCCCCGCGCGUUUUCCGGCGAAUCGCUCGGGAAAGAGGCGAGGCCGUCGACCUCACCGCGCGUUGCGUCCUAGGACGAGGAAUGUCUCUCAGCUGUUAAGAUCCUUCAAGCCACGGAGGGCGGGGAGGAGGAAAGGGGGACCGCGCGCGACGAGCCGGCGCUCGUAUUUUUAGCGCGGCUCGCGCUCGCGCAGGGAGGAAGCGAUUUUCAAGAGCGUCAUCCCCGCGUGUCUGUCGCCGGUCCCGUCGCGCGCCUGCUUCCCCGGCGAUAAAUCAAGCUCGACGACACCUCGGGAUCCCCGGGCUCGAUUCCGCGGUUUCCCAUCUUCGAGGCUGACGGUGGACCGGAGGACCGUCGCCGGCUGCGCUGCUCUUAGAAACUCAAAUUCAUCUGACGGGCGCGAUGCGAGGAAUGCCGCUGUGAGUCAGACGCGAAUGCCCGCGGGUACGUGUCGCGCACGCAACACUAAAAUUGGAGCUCAUCGCUGGCGUCGUGAGUGUAAAAAGCAUCGCAGAAGAAGACACUUCGCCACCUCGUGGCUGCGUUUUCUUCUCGAUCGCGGAUGGCGAGGGUUGAUCAUAUCCGGCACCAUCAGCGCCUUCGUGCUAUGUAAGACGUGAGUCUAUUCGACACGAGAAUUAUUUGUAUAACGCGCGCCAGCACGGCCUAUGACAGCACGGUCUAAUCGAUUUAAGGCGCAUGCGAGACGAAUAGUCCUAUCUGCGCAUGUAUAUCGAUCGUCGAUCGAUAGUGAUAAAAGGAGCGUAAUCGCCUGCCACGUCCUCUUUCGUUUCGGGGUCCUGAGAAGACAACAUCGUUCUCAGCAAUUCUACACCAACGAAAUAUCAGCCAUUUUUGGACAGCCAUUUGGACUCUAUUCCAUCGGAAUAUCGAGAUUGUGACGAGACUCGCAACGAGUAUCAUAAAUGACGCCGUAUCCUGGAAAGGAGUGGACUUGGUUGAUAACCGAUUGAACAGCACGCUCUCAGCAAACACGAGAGAUCAAUUUCCGAGUCAGAGGACCCUGAAGCAGGUGAAAGAGCCAACGAGGGACCAGGCGCUCCGUCCUAUUCGAUAACUCGGAUGAGUAUUUCUAUGAAUUGAAACAUAAUUUCCGCGCGUUUAUGUAUUGGACAAUAACUCGAUUUAUGAUAUGAUUUCCGCACUUUUAUUUUGAAUAAUAAUACGACUUGUUCGAUGAUUUCCUCGAUUACCUGUAUUAUAUAACCGAAAUAUAAUUAUUCUCAUCUGCUCAUGGAAUUUGAAUAUGUUUAUUUGCAACGGAUAAUCGUUCGUCACCAUCCUCUUGUUCGUAUCUCGAGCCCCGAACCUUAUAGUUAAAGUAAGGAAAAGAAUAAAAAAUUGUUGCAGCUAUCUUUACAACAGUUUUUUUCGAUGACAAUUCGAUCUAUCGAGAUUUCAAACAGAUUCUAAUAAAUUCAAACAAAUGAAUCAAAUGAUGGCAAAGUGUCUUUACGACUAAUGCAGAGAUUAUGCGGUGUCUAAUCCUUAGACGUAAAUUAGAUAUGAUUGUUGGUACUUCAACCUCUCGAGGAACUCAAUGCUAAGCUAAUUUGUCAAGAUUCUGGACGACAACUUCUCUUGAAAUGUUUCCUGAAGAAUCGAUUCAAUGAAAUUAGCAUUAAAUAAAAGCAAUCCAUCUGUAUAAACACUUUUUUCUACCAAUUUCAUUUCUAAAUGAUAACAAAUUAUUAUCUAGGCACAUAUUCAGGAUCCGUUAUCAAGAGGCUCACUGGAACUCGGGGAUUGCACAAAACAUCAGCAAAAAACACGUAUGCGACGAAAACCAAAAGGAGGAGCGCGACAGUCUCGAGGGAUUAAGAGGGACGAUCCUGCGAAUGAUUCACCGGGUUUGCGGUUAGGCUACUGCUAUCCGAUGACUAUAGGGCGACCGUUGCAGGCGGUGUUGCAGUCAGUGGUUCUCACGCGAAGACUCGAGGAAGACGGCGGCGGCCGUCGAAGCAAUGCCGAAAUCGCACAAAAUAACGAGGGUCAAGCUUUUCGACCACGAAAACAACCGAGCGAUCUGGCGAUUCGAUUCGGUCGGCGUCAGUAAGAUCCCAGCACAGAAGGGAAGAGGAAGAAUCGAAGAUCUGCCGAGCCCAGGUAUUCGCCGAUGUGGCCUUCGACUGAUCUUUUUGAGGACGAGGUCCAGCUGCUGCCAGACCGGUCGUAUACCCGGUGUGCAUGGAGAAAAUAAUCACCACCGAUUGACCUCGCGUGGCGUCCAAUAACGACCUCGCACCUUGGCGAUUUCUCUCUAUGUCUCUCUCUUUCUCUCAAGUCGAUUAACUCUUCAGUUAUGAUUACUCUCCCUGCGUCUCUCCAUAGAAUGCCGGCAAGGAUAAAAAGAGGAACGUUAAUUUUCAUCAUUAAACUAUUACAUCUCGUUAGUACGUUGUACGGAUCUGGAUUUACGGAUCGGGAAUAAUUUCAGCAGUUAUUAAGUUUAAUAAGACGAAUGGAAUGAAAGAAGCGGUAGAGCGAGUUCGGAUCCUGCGUAAAGAAACGUGUUCUUUUGCAAGUAUAACGCGAGAAAGCUCAACAAAAUCGCGACGGCCUCGCGCGAAUCUUGUUAAAAGUAUAAAGAAGAUGUUAAAAGAACGAUUCUGUAUCUCGCAGAAAUUGACUAAUUAAUUGCGAUAAUCGAUAUGAAGUUACGACGCUAAUCGACACUAGAGAGGGAUCUGGUUCUUUAUGAUCGGAGGUGAAUCGGAAGGAACCAUCAACGGUUACCGAGCUUGGUAAUAAGGCGAAGGACCUGGUGUAACCCAAAUUUCACCUUUCGCGCGAUGCUUCGUGAAUGGAAGGAACCCCCUUCCUUCCACCCGCUUCACGUCCACCCUCUCUUUUUCUUCGCCUUCCUCUACCUCCCGGUUCACCUCCGCGAGCCACGUUCUCUCUUCGAUGAAUCCUUUCCGAGACGAAGAAACGCUCCAGGCGUUUCGCUUCAGUAACCGCGGUCUUGGUUCAGCUCCUCCCGGAUUCCUUUGUUUAAUGCCUUAUUGCGAUAUUUUAACGCCGUUGCACUGUUGCCAUGCGCGGCGUCGCGCCGAGCCGAACCGAGCCGAGCCGUGCCGUGCUGAGUUCUGCGCCGCAUCUGGUUCCGGAGGUUUCAAUUAACCGGAAUGCUCGUUAACCGUUCGUUACCGCGAAAAGUUGCAAAAGCUCGAUCCGAUAAUCUGCCGACAAAAGUCAGCGUCUGAAACUCGCUUUUGUUACAGGUCUCUAUCCAAAACACAGUACAAGUCAUAACUUGGAAUUGAGACAAUUAGCUAUCGCAAUUUAUACACACUACAAACAAACGUCCUUCCAAUAUGCGAUCGGACAUGGUGAUGGAUUUAGAAAGAACAACUGAAACUUCACGGUCAACCUAGUCGUAGAUGAUAAACGCUCCUUAGCAGUUUUCUCUUUCCAAACAUGCAACAGGAACAAACAGGAACGUAAAAUAUCCGGAAACUUUCGUUAUAAAUAGAAUAAUUAUUGUAAUCCAACUAACGGAUCUAUGCCUAGUAAAAGGAAAGAACACACAUUCGAGCGAUGCCUGCUGUGAUAAGUUGCGCAAGCACAAUCAACCCAGCGCUCAAGUAGAUGCAACUCACAGUGACUCAGAGCGUUAUUUCAAAUAUGAAGACGUAGUAUGCUGGUCUAUACGCGUCGUGUCAACGAUGCGUCAGACCGUGACAAAAUCUGCACGACGUAUUCUGGGAUGUCGCGCGAUCGCUGCUGCUACUGCUGUUCCAGCCGUACGAAGGGUUUCUUUCUCACGCGAUGCGAACGCGUAGAAUCGAUCUCGAACGUGCCGCGCAAAUCACCGACACAGAGAUGAGAAACCGCUCGCGUCCGUAUUCGCUUUCCCAAAUUAACAAUCAUGGGAACGCGAAACGGAUGGAGAGAAUCCUGAAACGUUGCGCGUGCUGCGUUCUCGCUCAUGCGAAAUUUCAUCGCUCCGCAUAAAUAUAUUAGUCUUUACACUUUUGAAAUCCGCAAACGAGGCGAGAUCGAGCGAAGAUCUACGUUUCAUUUCGUUUGUUUUUGCCAUAUGUAUCACGAAUCUCUAAUUAUAGUACGUAGAAAGAUGUACAAGAUACAUUUUUGAUUUAUUAGCUAAUAAAUAAUUAAGGAUUUAAAUGGAUUAACGAGUCGAGUUAUCUUAAAGUCGAUAAGCUGACUUAAGUCGUUAAUCCACCACUCAUGAUCGCUCGAAGCAAGCAUCCUGUUUAGAAAUGGUAAAGUACGAAAUGAUAAAGUGUUGACGGGAUACAGAUUUACAAUCGACUUAAAAUCGUUGAGUCGUUUUAAGCUGUUAAUCUAUCAAGACCAUAAAAUGCGUAUAUCAAUGUCCAUUUUAUCAUUCUGCAAAGAAUCGUUUGCUUUACGUAAUCAUGAAUCAAGUCGGAGCACAAGAAUUUCUGUCUUUGAAAUUAAUAUAGGAUGACUCGGAAUCAUUACUGAACAGUAUUCUAAUUGAAGCUUUUUUAGCCAGAAUUGGAAGCAAUUUUCUUGGUGCUUAAUAUAUUAAAUUUUAAAGGCAAUUUUAAAAUAGAUUCUAUAUAUUCCAAGUAAAAAAAAGAAAUGAUCAUUUAUAGUCGUGAUGUUAAACUUAAGGAAUUUCCUCUUUCAGAGUCGCUUAUAUGAAAAAUAACUUCAACAUUCCUCACCAAAAAGAAUUUAGAUUGCUUCAAGAAUUUGGCCAUGUCGAAAAUAGCGUAAGAGGAUAUUUCUGGCCAGUCUACAUUGAGAUCUGAUGCAACGCAGCUUCAAUGGACUCAUGUCGAGGAGAGGAAAUUACGGUACAGAAUUUACGUAAUUUUCCAAAUUCCUUCGCGCAAAGCGCAAAAGAAAAGAUUACAUCGGCGCAACGGAUGGAGACGAUAAUCGCGCACUUCCUAACGGGGAAGCAUAUUUUCGCGGACGAUGACACGAUAGUUUCACGAGAGGAGAGAGAUUUUCGGACUCCUUUCGAUGAAUGUACGCAAUGCUAACGUACCAGUAUUGCUGGGAAAAUGUUUCUCGCGUGACGACAAUGCCGGUCGCUGUCAAUUACUAGAUUCCUCAGGAUUCUUAUUUGGAGGAGACAUCGAAUCGUAUUGUCUUAUGUGCAUUUCAUUGCAAUUUCGAUGCGUGUCACGCGCGUUGGUAUGAGCGCAAUCGCGCAGUCAACGUCCCCGAUCAGCAAGGUAUUAAUUUUGCAAUAAUAUCGAACUCUCUAUAUUAAUUAUGAAACCAUAGAUUCUCAUAAUUAAAUAACAGGAACGACCAUGUUUUAACUUUUAUAUCUACGACCGAAGCAUAUAAUUGAAAACGUUGGGUAAUAAUAACAAACUAAUAGCUAUUAUAAAUUAAUAAGCAAGUAGUAAUAAAAAAUUAAUUAUUACAAAAUUCUUAAAGGAGAAAGCACAUGAUGAAGAGUUCGUUCAGUAAUGAUCGUGAAAUCAUGUUCACAUUAACUAAAAUUAUCUCGCUCCACCAAUGCCCGUGAACAGCGAGUAAUUAAUCGUGAAUGCUCUGCGACUUACCGAGGAGGACUCGUACGCCACUGACUGGCCAGUUCCUCGAUAGUUUCGCCAAAGUCCUCCUCCUGGGGAGCACUAUGAAUCACUGUGAAUCACUGAGUCACCAACUGACGCGAGACGCCGAGCUCCAAUCGCGGCGAAAAAUCAAUCGAAGGGAAAACGUUCCGAGACGGGCGAGACUGGAGAGAGACCGUGCCGACCGUGCACACGGAUGACGUGCGAGCGAAUGAUCGGAGGAGCAGCCGCGGGCAUCGACUUGCUCGCCCGAGGACGAAGGAAGCGGCGAGCACCGAGUCGCGUUACAUUCGACAGACCACCCUUCGGUAUACCAUCGUGAAGAGGAGAAAAAAAAACCACAAGAACGUAGCGGCUGAGAGAAUGUAUGACAAGAGAAAGGGAGGGAGAGAGAGAGAAACAUUGCAUUCAGACAUUAUUAUGUCUUUGGGACAGUGCUAGUAUUGAGAACUCGACUCAAGAGAUGUAAAACAGAUUUCCAAAACGAAAUUCGCAGGAUUCAAGGAUUAUUGCAAUUAUUUUUAAUUAUUAAAAAAAUAUCCGCGUUAACUAUAGUGUUCUUCGAGAUACAUGGUUUCAUAAAUUAAUUGCAUUUUUGUUCAAUUCAACUGAACUCUGAUCAAUUCUUAAUUUUAAGAGCUUUUAAUCUUUUUUAAUCUUUUUUUUCGGUGAACCGAUUAAAAAACCGAUUAUGAUUGAAUAUGCCGUUAUAUAGCUUUUCAUAUUAUUUAUGUUUAAAUUACUUGAAAUGACAAAAUUAGGAGCACAGCUCAUGCCAGCUGUAUCUGUACGACGCUGUAGCAACUUCUCGCUCACCUACUGCUUCUGCUGUUUCCAGCUUUCUUUUUCUCUCUCUCUUUCUUUCUCUGUUUUUCUUUCCCCUUUCUCAAGUAAAUUAGUAUAAUUCAAUACGUAAAACAAAUCGAUCGCCGAAUAAUUUGUGUAAACGAGAUUAUAAAAGUUUCACCUGCG